rnacentral:ribozyme from 1 species
UGCCCAGCAACUCCUAUCCCUACUUCUGUGUGGUACCAGCUGGAAACUACCAGCAACCUUAGGGAAGAUCGGGUAACCAACCCCAGUGGCAACUUCGAUCCUAGGCUGACAGGGAAGG